ensembl:lncRNA novel transcript, antisense to POLR3E
CUUCAUCCCUGUUGUUGCAAAUGGCAGGACCUCCCUUUUUAAUGCUGAAGUUCCAUGUUUCAUACCAUUGUGGUCAGAAAAGAUACCGCCCUAAUAUAUGAUCUGUCCUGGAGAAUAUUCCAUGUAUGCUCGAGAAGAAUGUGUAUUCUGCUGUUGGAUGGAAUCUCCUGUAUAUGGCUCUUAGCAGCCUGAAGCCAUGGUUUUUAGUUUCUGUCUCUAGUGACAAGCAGAGAAGAGGGAUGAAAGGGGCAUUACUGGCCUGGCCCAACCAGAAAGAGAAACAAAGCAUCCAUGGCUGUAUUCUUUCCCUUGGACACCACUGUGACUAUAUUGUUUGAAGGGGUCAGUCCUCUGGCACAUACCCCCUUCCCCAACCAAUGCCAAUCAAUCAAUCAUUAACAGUUGCUCAAGACAAGACUGACUGGGGAGUGGUCCCAAGGAAGCCUGAUUUCAUAUACACAAAGACACUAGAGUCCCUUCUACACACUGUCAGCCCCUUCCAGAGCCUUUGAUAUUGUUUGUUAUGCACAAAAUGGAUGUACCUUUAGUACUUUAUCCACCUCCUGUUUACUGAGAUCUUCUCCACACUCUUGAGUCAACCGAGACUGGAUCAUGUUUCGGCGUACCCGGUAAUUUUUGGAAAAAAUUUCAAGCAAAACCUGUCGAUGCUUUAGUAGCAAAAACACGUUAUGAUGGGAAACAGUGAUCUAAAAAGAGAAACAUCCCCAAACAAGACACCCAAGCCAUGCACCUGACUUUGUGUUGCAGUCUCUGAUAAAAACCCUCACGCAGCACCUCUGGUUAAAGAUGAGCCAAGUCAUCUCUAGAGACCCAGCAAGACAGUGUACAGAAAUAAAAACACAAAAGUAAAGGCAUUAAUGCUAUGUCUGGAAACUUGAAUAUAAAUAAAAACAAAGGUAUAUGCCAGCAUAACAAAAGAACUGGUGAAGAGACAUGAGAGGAUGAGUGGCUUGAACAUAUUUCUGCAUGGUAAAAUGCAGGCGUGCAUCGGACUUAGCAAGCAGGUGAAGCGACAAUCUAAGCUGCACGGAGAUGAGAAGAGGGUGUCAAAAUUGGUGUGAAGUCUUAAUGCACAAACAUGCCACUGCAUCCAUGAAACAGGAUGCCGUAAAAUACGUUACACCCCAAAAUAAAAAUGGAAAAGAUUGGAUUCAGUAUGUCUAAUAUCUGUCAUAAGAAUUCUGAAAAAAACAAAAAAAAGUAACAACUCACAGGAUUUUAUAAGAACUCAAUUGUCUAGUACAAUAAUGACCCGCACCAGGGCACAGCUGAAAUGGCACUGACUGAUAUACAGAAUAAUGAAAAAUUCUGCAGUUUGGCAUAAAGGAAAGAAUACAGGCCAAAUUUAAAAGACCAAGAAGGAGAAUGUUAUGGAAUUUCAACAACUCUGAAAACUUAAACAAUGGAAACUCUCUUAAAGAUGCUUCAUGCCGGGCGCAGAGGCUCACGCCUGCAAUCCCAGCACUUGGGGAGACCGAGGCAGGCGGAUUACCUGAGGUCAGGAGUUCGAGACCAGCCUGUCCAACGUGGUGAAACUCCGUCUCUACUAAAAAUACAAAAAUCAGCCACGCGUGGUGGCACACGCCUAUAAUCCCAGCUACUCAGGAGGCUGAGGCGGAGGUUGCAGUGAGCCGAGAUCGUGCCAUUGCACUCCAGCCUGGCUGACAG